UACGGAGGAUCCGAGCGUUAUCCGGACUUAUUGGGUUUAAAGGGAGCGUAGGUGGACAGUUAAGUCAGUUGUGAAAGUUUGCGGCUCAACCGUAAAAUUGCAGUUGAUACUGGCUGUCUUGAGUACAGUAGAGGUGGGCGGAAUUCGUGGUGUAGCGGUGAAAUGCUUAGAUAUCACGAAGAACUCCGAUUGCGAAGGCAGCUCACUGGACUGCAACUGACACUGAUGCUCGAAAGUGGGGUAUCAAACAGG
rnacentral:rRNA from 1 species